rnacentral:pre_miRNA from 1 species
UUUAUUGCUUCGAUCAAUGCACUGAAAGUGACUACACCAGGAUUUGUUUUUAAGUUUUUGCUCUCAUCUAUAUGAUAAAGAUGAAAAUUAGCCUCUGAUGUAGUCACUUUCAAUGCGUUGAUCAUAGCAUGGAAA